CAGAUUAGCGGUUGUCGUUUGUUUCUGAGUAAGUCGAGGGUUGGGAUUUCUAUAACUGUUGUCGAUUGCUCCAUAUCUAUUUCUGACUCAAUCUAUCGACUUACUCAGGUGAAUUGCCGUAAACCUUUAAAGAUCAACCGUAAACCUUUAACGCUAUCACCACCACCGCUACCUGUCACCGCAACCACCGCUACUGCCAUCAUCACCAUUGCCAUCGCCAACCACCACUACGGCUACCUCCGUAAUCGCUCCACCCAACACCACCGUAAUCACCAUCACCAUCGCCACCGUUAUCGGCACCAUCACCCCACCGUCACCACCACCACCACCAUCAUCUCCACCACCGUUACCACUGUUAUCGCAACCACCGCUACCGCCACGACCAUUGCCAUCGCCAUUGUCACUACUCACUGCUGCUACAAUUGUAAUCGCCACCACCCAACACCACGGCCAUCACCAUCAUCACGCUGUUUUCUAAUUCAAUUUCUUAUGUUUAUCUACCAUUAUCUUUUUCAUAAGCUAUUCCAAUUGAUCUAACAUUUGUUCCUUAAUUAAACAUUUGUUCGUUUUACCCUCUUCCAACUUGAAUCCACCCAAGUCAUAUCACAAAUCAUAGUUUGAUAUUUGAUAAUUGAUCGAUUGCAUUCAAUAUAGAAAAAG
rnacentral:lncRNA from 1 species